GGGCUCACACAAGCGGUGGAGCAUGUGGCUUAAUUCGAAGCAACGCGAAGAACCUUACCCAGGUUUGACAUGCUUGGAUGCGUGACGGUAAUGCGUUUACGCUACCCGCAAGGGUGAAACAAGCACAGGUGUUGCAUGGCUGUCGUCAGCUCGUGCUGUGAAGUGUCGGGUUAAGUCCUCUAACGAGCGAAACCCUUACCGUUAGUUACCAUCGGGUCAUGCCGGGGACUCUAGCGGGACUGCCGGCGUUAAGCCGGAGGAAGGUGGGGACGACGUCAAGUCAUCAUGGCCUUUAUGCCUGGGGAUGCACACGUGCUACAAUGGCGUGAACAAAGCGACGCAAGACCGCAAGGUGGAGCAAACCGCGGAAAACACGCCUCAGUUCAGAUUGGAGUCUGCAAUUCGACUCCAUGAAGUUGGAAUCGCUAGUAAUCGCGCAUCAGCUACGGCGCGGUGAAUGUGUUCCUGAGCCUU
rnacentral:rRNA from 1 species